CUAGUUGUUACGCCAACUGAAACAAUAAAACAGGCGACGCUAUUUUGUAAUAAAAAAGAAUGGCAGGAAUCCAACCUUAUGCAUUUGAACCGGAGACCGAGACCGAGUCGGAGGAGGAGAUCUCUGAAGAGGAAGCCGGGGGUCGGAGAAAAAUGGAUGUAUCAGAAUGGUGUACAUGUGGGCAUUGCUGCACUAUGGAGACGGAGGCAGAAAACAUUUGUUGCAGAGAGGUGACCGUGGUACUAAAUAGAAUGCAACAGCUGGAGUCACCAGUCCACUGCAUGACAGAC